UUUCCUUGUGCAUUUUUCCUUGUAUGCAUUUUUCCUGUGUGACACGAGGUAGGUAUGUAGGUGGUGCAGAGCUGGGCCAGCUGCUCAGAAAACCUCUAGUCUCUGCUGUUAAUUCUAGAGUCCCCUUGCCCUUAGCAUCUCUACUGGGCACGGUGGCUUACCUGGUGGUGGGACCCCAACCCUCAUUCCUAAGGGAUCUGAGCCCUCCCUGGUCACCACGGCAUUCUUAGUAUGAGGCCAUGAUGGAUGCACGUGUCCGUUUACCAUCAAAAUUGGACAACUCCUGGGGCCGGCCCCGUGGCCGAGUGGUUAAGUUCGUGCGCUCCACUGCAGGCAGCCCAGUGUUUCGUCAGUUCGAAUCCUGGGCGCGGACAUGGCACUGCUCGUCGAGCCACGCUGAGGUAGCAUCCCAUAUGCCACAACUAGAGGACCCACAACUAAAAAUAUACAACUACGUACCGGGGGGCUUUGGGGAGAAAAAGGAAAAAAAUAAAAUCUUUAAAAUUGGAUGACUCCUCCAUAUACCAAGCUCAGGCUUCUUCCUCCUCUGUCUCCUGGUCAGAGGGGACCCAUCUCCUCCACUGUUCAGCUGUAGGUGUGUAAGCCGAGGGAGGGGCAAACAGGUGGAUGAAAUGGGGGUCUGGGUUGCUUGCUCAUGCAGCAUCUUGUGCCAUCUGGCCCUGCUCUGCUCAACCCCAGAUGUACCACUUCCAUCCUGGCCUGCUGCUGGGCCCACCCAAUCUUAUGACUUGGUUGAUGUGACAGAAUUCAACUCAUUGCGGAUAGUUCUGGCUGCAUGGUCAUUUGCUUUCCCAUGGCCAGGUACUCCAUCCCUACCUGGGCCAAGCAGCAUGCCAGGAGCUGCCGAUGACAUGGCCUGGCUCCAGAACCCAGGGAUCUGAAUUGUGAUUUCGCCGUUGAGAUUUGCCGUAAACUCCACUCAGCAUCUUCUCCCACCACCGAUACCUCUAAUCCACAGGGCCUGCUAGGUUAUAUGGCCCAAGCUUUGGGGCCACUUGCGUUGCAGCCUGGACCUGCUGCAGAGCUCUUUCCUGCUCUAGAUCCCUCUCAAAGGUGGCAGCCUUUCAUUUCACCCAGUAUUUGGAUCCGUGCAGUAUUCCUAGGUUUGGAAUAUGCUGCUUCCAGAACCCAAAGUAGUCUACCGGGCCUGGCCCUUCCUUCUUUGUAGUGGAAGAUGAAAGAUGCAAGAGUUUUCCCCUGACUCUGGAGGGGAUGUUCCAGGAUGUUUCAGAACAUUGGAACCCUACAAAUGUUAUUUAUUUGGCAGGCCCUGCAUCUUUGAAGAGUUUAUCUCACGCCCUCUGGAGGGCCAGUGUCUUAUCAAGGCUUUCACGCUCUAGCCACUUCACCCAGUCCAAUCAGCAUAUGUCAUCGAUAGAGGGACCAGUGUGAUGUUCUGUGGAUGUCCAGCCAGUCCUGGUCUCUUUAGACUAUGUCACAAAAGAGGGCUGAAGAGUUAACAAAGCCCUGGGGCAAGACGUGUGUACUGUUACCCAUUCCACCUGGAUGUGAACUGCCUCUGAUCCUCCUUUUUGGUAGAAAUGUAAAAGAACACAUUAGCCGGAUCAGUGGCUACAGACCACUGACCUGAGACUAAUCUGCUCUCACAGAGACACCACAUCUGGCACAGCAGCUGCAUUGAGGCUCCUGUUUGGUUGAGUUUGCAUCAGUCCGUUGUCAUCCUCCAGGACAUGUCUGAUUUUUGCAGGGGCCAGACUGACGAUCUAAACAAGAUACGAUGGGAACUACCACUUCAGCAUCAUUUAGGUUUUUAAGGGUGGCACUAGUUUCCACCACUCCUCCCGGGACGUGAUAUUGUUCUGAUGGACUCUCUUGGCUGGGUUGGGAGGGGGCUGUUUGAGAGGUUUCCGCUGGCCUUCCUCACUAUGAUAGCUCAUACCCCACAGUCCAAGGGAUCAAUGUGGGAGUCAUGCCAACCACCAAUAUGUCUAUUCCAAACGCUACUGGGGAAAUGACCACAGGCUUGGCCAGUGGACGCACUGCAAGCUGGACUUGGGCCAGGACUUUAUUUCCUGCUCCUGAUAUGGCCCCAAUUUAAAAGAGUCCUUCCAGGGAUCCAGCCUCUCCUUCAGCUGAUGCGUUGGGAAUCCUAACACUGGCUCAGGUCUGGAAACAGAGUGAGAGAUUAUGAUUUUUUUAGAGUCACCAACCACCUGAUCAGGAAAACUAAAUUGUGAAAAGUAUGUAUCUUAGUGUAGAAGAGACACGGGGUCACACAUUUCUGUGUAUAACAUGCGUAGGAAAAAGACUAGAAGGAAACACAGCAGACUAUUAGCCAUCCUUACCUCUCAGAGGCAGUAUUGUGGAUGGUUUUAAUUUUCUUUUCACUUUUCUGUAUUUUCCACAUUUUUGUACUAGAGCAGCUGUACUCUAUAUACACGUAUUUUCUCUCUUCUGCAGAGAGGUUCCAGAAAAUCAUCUUGGCAU
rnacentral:lncRNA from 1 species